ensembl:lncRNA novel transcript
CGCACUUCAGGCAGGAUUAACAUCAUGGGCAACUCCAGGAGGUGUGAGAGCACACAAUUUUGCCGCUGUUGGAUGUCACACACGAUGGGAGAAUUGAAGCUCAUGAAUAAACAAGUUGUCCUCGCCAAAAUUCCACCCAGUGAUAGAUGGGAGAAUUGAAGCACAUGAAUAAACAAGUUGUCCUCGCCAAAAUUCCACCCAGGUCAGAGAAAGCAAAGUCAGGAUUUGAACCCAAAUCUUCCUUCAAAUUCAGAUCUCUUCCUCUACCACUGGUUUUCUGGAACUCUCAAAUCAGCCUGUCCUCAAUCCCUAUGGCUGGCACACCAGGAGAUCUUCUGAGUGCGAUCUUCACACCCCUCUGGAAUUGGCAUUCUUCUUCUAGUGUCCCUUCCACUGCUCCUUGGAAACAGCAAGUUCUGUUUUUAG